UGCAUGCCUCCCUCACCCUGCAUCUGCUCUGUGCUGCCCUCUUACUUUUAACUCACACCUUAAAGGGAGCUAGGCCUCUUGUGGCAUAUAGGUUUCUGCUGUUGUGACUGUCAUCAAGAGGCUGUACUGAGUUAGGACAUUCCUUCCAGUCUCUAGCAUCGAGGCCCAAAACCAUGCAAUCUAAAUAAUAUAUUAAACAUGAAGGAUCCAAAUGAAGCCUGGCAGUCACUCAAGAAUUCAUCAGGAAGAUUGUGUACUUCCAUUAGCCUCGACAGCUGGUUCUGCUGACGCCUGGAUGUCAUAAAAAGUGUUGUUAGAGUGAUACAUUUCUCAUGGAGAGUGCAUGGGUACAUGAAAGAAAUACUGCUCUGAACCAGGAAUAUCCUCUGCCUUCUACCAGCCAGUCCCUUUUGCUGACAGAUGCUGUAGAGGGUCCUUUGUAGAGUGGAGACCAUUAGAGCAGGACUCUGUGCGAGAUCCAAAAAUGGUCUGUAUAUCUGGGAGACAGAUUUUGAAAGUGGUUUUGAUACUGCACAAAUCAGUCUUAUUUAGCAUAAUGUGUCCCUUUAAGGUGGAAUCAAGUCUUUUCU